AAAUCUAUUGGGACGGUUCAGAUUCCUUCCUUAUUUUCCCCCUUUUAUUUUUUGCUGAACCCUAACCUUUUGAGUGCAUUUUUGUUUUCUUUUUAAUUGCUAAUAUUUCUUAGCCUAAAGAGAGACAAAGUAGUACUUUGAGACAUAAUGUUGCUAAGUCCAAAUCGAUAGUUGAAUCCAAAACAUAUCAUCUUGAUAUAACACUCCUAAAGAAGAAUCCAUCGUUUUUAAGCGACAGUAUGGAGGUUUAUUUUGCGUAUGGAGGUCGUAAAUCUGGACUUUAAAGAACAUAUCUUUUUAUUCUACCCGCUAGGUCUCAUUUCACCAGUGAAGGUCGCCGAUCUGAGCUCCCAAUGAAUUCAUUAUUUUCUUCCACAACUAGGUCUAUUAUCGAGCAAAGUCAAACGCAUUUCACAUUUAGUUCCUUUCGGGUGGACGAAGAACGUAAAAGUUUAGUGAACGCACAACGUGCUCUUAGGAAAUGGCAUGACUCAAAUAGCUAUUGGCCUACUGCUCGCUGCACCGAGAAGCAUAACUUAUUAGUUGCUGCUAUAAAUACCACGGUGUUUAGUGUCAUGAGCUACAUCCCGCAAAUAGCUGUUAAAGAAAUCUCCAGGGCAUAUAAAAGAGGUUUGGUCACGGCAGAAAAAGGAGGAAGAUGCUUCUGAUUUAAGGUGAAUGAAGGAGUUUGGAAUGAUUACAUGUAGUUGUUGCGGUCCCAAUGAAUUGGUGUGCUCAGACUUUUAACUUCCUAAAAAAGUUUAGUACUACUUUGUGACUUGGUAACUCUUUUCUGAAAAUUAGUAAUCCAAAUUUCACCAAAAAUAUGGUAAAUUUUAAGUCUGGUUUCUAACUUGUAGUUCUUUCUAUACUUUUGUGUACAACAUCAUAAGCAAUAAUGGAAUCAGAUGCUAUCGAAUUUCUACUAAGACUUUUUGAUAGCAAACAGUCACAACCAAUAGUGCAAGAAUCUGCAGCUAAGGUUAUUUUACAGAGGUUACCUGCUGGCCAUUUGCAUAAUUUUGGAUUCAACAUUAUCUCGAAGGUAAAACAAAUAAUCAACAAGUUGAUGAAAGCCAUGAAGACCUUACUUAAGAGUAUUGGUUGAUCAUUCCUAGACUUUCAAAUGUUUUAGGAAUCUUUUAAUUCAGAACUCUUAGAAACCUCAUACGAAACUCUUCAAUUGUCAAACAAUAUUGCAUUUGUUGUUUUUAUAAAUGGAUAAUGUUUGUUGUAUUUUUCGGAU